ACUCCUACGGGAGGCAGCAGUGGGAAUAUUGCACAAUGGGGAAGCCCAUCGAUGCAGCCAUGCCGCGCUGUGUGAAGAAGGCCAAUUCGGGCUUGUUAAAGACACUUUUCAGUAGGGAGGAAGGUAGUGUAGUUAACACCUGCAUUAUUUGACGUUACCUACAGAAGAAGCACCGGCUAACUCCGUGCCAGCAGCCGCGGUAAUACGGAGGGUGCGAGCGUUAAUCGGAAUUACUGGGCGUAAAGCGCAUGCAGGCGGCCUGUUAAGUCAGAUGUGAAAGCCCGGGC
rnacentral:rRNA from 1 species